rnacentral:lncRNA from 10 species
CAUUCAGUAACAGCAGUAAAUAUAUCAGCCUUGCUGAGAGUGAGCUCACGCCAUCGUGCCCAUGUGUAGCCUUCAGUCCUGCGCGUGGCCAUUCUGCUGAUGGACCAAUUGCACAAUCACUGGAAUGGCUUAGGACAGACACUGUGUGACCUCCAUAGAGAAGCUAUCUUUUUUGUUUUGUUUUUUUGUUUUUUGAGACAAGGGCUCACUCUGUCACCCAAGCUGGAGGGCAGUGGUGUGAUAAUCACUUUUGGAGGCUGAGGCAGGAGGAUCACAUGAGCUCAGGGGUUCGAGACCAGCCUGGACAACAGAGCAAGACACC